rnacentral:rRNA from 1 species
CAAGGAAUUUUCCCCAAUGGGCGCAAGCCUGAGGGAGCAACGCUGCGUGCAGGACGACGGCCUUCGGGUUGUAAACUGCUUUUGCGUGGGACGAUAACGACGGUACCACGCGAAUCAGCCCCGGCUAACUCUGUGCCAGCAGCCGCGGUAAUACAGAGGGGGCAUGCGUUGUCCGGACUUACUGGGCGUAAAGCGCACGCAGGUGGUAACGCAAGUGGGGUGUGAAAGCCGCCAGCUCAACUGGCGGAGGCCAUCCCAAACUGCGUCACUUGAGGCCUGUAGAGGUAUGUGGAAUUGCCGGUGUAGUGGUGAAAUGCGUAGAUAUCCGGAGGAACAUCAGUGGCGAAGGCGGCUUACUGGACCAAAACUGACGCUCAGGCACGAAAGCGUGGGUAGCAAACAGGAUUAGAUACCCCUGUAGUCC